GAUGAACGCUGGCGGCGUGCCUAAUACAUGCAAGUCGAGCGAACAGACGAGGAGCUUGCUCCUCUGACGUUAGCGGCGGACGGGUGAGUAACACGUGGAUAACCUACCUAUAAGACUGGGAUAACUUCGGGAAACCGGAGCUAAUACCGGAUAAUAUAUUGAACCGCAUGGUUCAAUAGUGAAAUACGGUUUUGCUGUCACUUAUAGAUGGAUCCGCGCCGCAUUAGCUAGUUGGUAAGGUAACGGCUUACCAAGGCAACGAUGCGUAGCCGACCUGAGAGAGUGAUAGGACACACUGGAGCGGGGACACGGUCAAGACGCCUAAGGGAGGCAGCAGUAGGGAAUCUUCCGCAAUAGGCGAAAGCCUGACGGAGCAACGGCGCGUGAGAGAUGAAGGUCUUCGGAUCGUAAAACUCUGUUAUUAGGGAAGAACAAAUGUGUAAGUAACUAAGCACGUAUUGACGGUACCUAAUCAGAAAGCCACGGCUAACUACGUG
rnacentral:rRNA from 1 species